rnacentral:rRNA from 1 species
CACGUAGGGGGCGAGCGUUGUCCGGAAUCAUUGGGCGUAAAGAGCUCGUAGGCGGCUCAGUAAGUCGGGUGUGAAACCCUCAGGCUCAACCUGGGGACGCCACCCGAUACUGCUGUGGCUAGAGUCCAGUAGGGGAGUGUGGAAUUCCCGGUGUAGCGGUGAAAUGCGCAGAUAUCGGGAGGAACACCAGCGGCGAAGGCGACACCCUGGACCAGCACUGACACUGAGGCACGAAAGCGUGGGGAGCAAACAGG